rnacentral:rRNA from 1 species
GUGGGGAAUUUUGGACAAUGGGCGCAAGCCUGAUCUAGCAAUGCCGCGUGCAGGAAGAAGGCCUUCGGGUUGUAAACUGCUUUUGUACGGAACGAAACGGUCCUGGUUAAUACCUGGGGCUAAUGACGGUACCGUAAGAAUAAGCACCGGCUAACUACGUGCCAGCAGCCGCGGUAAUACGUAGGGUGCGAGCGUUAAUCGGAAUUACUGGGCGUAAAGCGUGCGCAGGCGGUGCUGUAAGACAGGCGUGAAAUCCCCGGGCUCAACCUGGGAAUUGCGCUUGUGACUGCAGUGCUGGAGUACGGCAGAGGGGGAUGGAAUUCCGCGUGUAGCAGUGAAAUGCGUAGAUAUGCGGAGGAACACCGAUGGCGAAGGCAAUCCCCUGGACCUGUACUGACGCUCAUGCACGAAAGCGUGGGGAGCAAACAGGAUUAGAAACCCUUGUAGUCC